GGUUAACAUUGUUAUUCAUACUUACCGGCUCAGGUAGGCAUCUCUAAAGAAACUUGUCACUGGAAAUAGAGUCUCAACUCGUCGUCCUUUACUGCUUUAACUUCCCUCUGGAAUCACAUUCAGAUAGAGGAAUGAUUAUUUCACAAUAAAUGCCUUUGGUCUUGACUGUCACGUCUAAUUGUACUCCAAUCCCUCCUCACGUUCAUUGGUCUGACUGGGGCAUAUGCUCAUUCUGGAACUAAUCCCAGUUCUGGAUUGUGCCCCGACAAUGCUGUUCAUUGACGGGCUUAGGCUUUCUCCCUCCUGAGCCAAUCACUAUGGUAGAAAGGAUGGAAUGACUGCUCUCUUCCAACAACAUCACUGUGACAUCAUAAGAGAGAUUUGAAAAGCAUCUUGGAGGACUUUCUAUGUCAAGCUCCCCAGAUGCACACCUUGAGACUAGGAUUUGCUAUGGAGCAUCAUGCGUGAUUCUCACAGAGCUCAAUAGACGUCGGGCAAGUGGAAGGCCAUCAGACCUCUCAGGUCACAGCAUCCAGAGCAUCCCGUUGGACACAUAAAGACUAAGUUACUUAACUGUGGAGAUUCCUCUCUCUUUCUCUCUCUCCUUCUUUCUCCAAACCCAGAUGUUUGGCAUCUCACCAAUAUCGUCCAAGACCUUCUGGAUUGGGAACAAAAUAAAUGUAGAGAAAGAGGAAGCAGUUUUAGUGAAAGCACCACAGGGAGCAAACCAAUAAAAAAGCAGGAAACUCAGCACAAGCCCGAUUUAUGUCGCUGCAUUUCCCUAGCACUCAGCCUAUUCCUCCAAACCCCAACACACACACACUCGUGUGCACACACACGUGCACUCACACAUGCACAUGUGCACACACACACCACAAGCGCCUGCUCCUAUUAGCUUUCUUUCCUGCUCUCACUUUUCAUUUUAAAGUCAAACAUUGGGUAAAAUUCUCUUUUUAUUUCACUCUCCUUCCCAUCUCUCUGAAAGAGCUUCAGAAGGGGAGUUUUGCAUGAGCGUCCUGAGGGCUCGUGGAUCUGAGACUGUACAGCUCCCUCACCUCCACAUUUCCCUGAUGGUCCUAUCUCUUUUUAAUAGUCAAUAAAACAUUGCUAUAGCCUCUAUUUUAGUUUCUGUUUCUAGACAACAAGAAAGAGAGAAAAGGUAG
rnacentral:lncRNA from 1 species